rnacentral:rRNA from 1 species
UACGUAGGAUGCAAGCGUUGUUCGGAAUUACUGGGCGUAAAGAGUACGUAGGCGGUUUGAUAAGUCUGAUAUUAAAGACUGGAGCUUAACUCCAGGACUGUAUCGGAAACUGUCAGACUAGAGGACAAUAGAGGAAGUCGGAAUUCUCAGUGUAGCGGUGAAAUGCGUAGAUAUUGGGAAGAACACCAGUGGCGAAAGCGGACUUCUGGGUUGUUACUGACGCUGAGGUACGAAAGCGUGGGGAGCAAACGGG